rnacentral:rRNA from 1 species
GAUGAACGCUGGCGGCGUGCUUAACACAUGCAAGUCGAACGAAGCACUUUAUUUGAUUUCCUUCGGGACUGAUUAUUUUGUGACUGAGUGGCGGACGGGUGAGUAACGCGUGGGUAACCUGCCUUGUACAGGGGGAUAACAGUUGGAAACGGCUGCUAAUACCGCAUAAGCGCACAGCAUCGCAUGAUGCAGUGUGAAAAACUCCGGUGGUAUAAGAUGGACCCGCGUUGGAUUAGCUAGUUGGUGAGGUAACGGCCCACCAAGGCGACGAUCCAUAGCCGACAUGAGAGGGUGACCGGCCACAUUGGGACUGAGACACGGCACAAACUCCUACGGGAGGCAGCAGUGGGGAAUAUUGCAAAAUGGGCGAAAGCCUGAUGCAGCGACGCCGCGUGAGCGAAGAAGUAUUGCGGUAUGUAAAGCUCUAUCAGCAGGGAAGAUAAUGACGGUACCUGACUAAGAAGCACCGGCUAAAUACGUG